AAGUCGUAACAAGGUUUCCGUAGGUGAACCUGCGGAAGGAUCAUUAACACGUAUCCAACGUAUACACCCCUGUGGUCCUGUGCGCGGCUCUAUAUGUGAGUGGUAGAAACUACUUUGUGACCUGCGUGGUUGCAAAAGAAAAUUUCGUGAAAAGGGCGUAUCGAUCUGCGUGAUUGAUAUGAAAAACCUAAUCAACCUGCGGGGUUGGUGGUUCCCUGAUCUCUGAAAUUAGUUAUACUAGCUUUCUGCGAGAAAGCAGCUCCGUAUAGCAGACGUUUUAACCAAACCAUUUACCAAAUUGACUAAUUUAGAAAUAAGUAUGAUUCGCUCUGCUUUAUUUCGACUUACGAAAUGAUAACAACUCUUAACAACGGAUAUCUUGGUUCCCGUAACGAUGAAGAAUGCAGC
rnacentral:misc_RNA from 1 species